UACAGAGGGGGCAAGCGUUGUUCGGAAUUACUGGGCGUAAAGGGCGCGUAGGCGGCCUCCUAAGUCGAACGUGAAAUCCCCGGGCUCAACCCGGGAACUGCGUCCGAUACUGGAAGGCUUGAAUCCGGGAGAGGGAUGCGGAAUUCCAGGUGUAGCGGUGAAAUGCGUAGAUAUCAGGAGGAACACCGAUGGCGAAGGCAGGUCUCUGGGCUGACACUGACGCUCAUGCACGAAAGCGUGGGGAGCAGACAGG
rnacentral:rRNA from 1 species